rnacentral:rRNA from 1 species
CUCAGAACGAACGCUGGCGGCAGGCCUAACACAUGCAAGUCGAGCGAGACCUUCGGGUCUAGCGGCGGACGGGUGAGUAACGCGUGGGAAUGUGCCCUUCUCUACGGAAUAGCCUCGGGAAACUGGGAGUAAUACCGUAUACGCCCUUAGGGGGAAAGAUUUAUCGGAGAAGGAUCAGCCCGCGUUGGAUUAGGUAGUUGGUGGGGUAAUGGCCUACCAAGCCUACGAUCCAUAGCUGGUUUGAGAGGAUGAUCAGCCACACUGGGACUGAGACACGGCCCAGACUCCUACGGGAGGCAGCAGUGGGGAAUCUUAGACAAUGGGGGCAACCCUGAUCUAGCCAUGCCGCGUGAGUGAUGAAGGCCUUAGGGUUGUAAAGCUCUUUCAGCUGGGAAGAUAAUGACGGUACCAGCAGAAGAAGCCCCGGCUAACUCCGUGCCAGCAGCCGCGGUAAUACGGAGGGGGCUAGCGUUGUUCGGAAUUACUGGGCGUAAAGCGCACGUAGGCGGACCAGAAAGUCAGAGGUGAAAUCCCAGGGCUCAACCUUGGAACUGCCUUUGAAACUAUUGGUCUGGAGUUCGAGAGAGGUGAGUGGAAUUCCGAGUGUAGAGGUGAAAUUCGUAGAUAUUCGGAGGAACACCAGUGGCGAAGGCGGCUCACUGGCUCGAUAC